rnacentral:lncRNA from 1 species
AAACAUGAACAUAAUUUAAUUAUUUAGGAAAUGACCAAAAUGAUCUUAGACAUUCGUUCUAAAUUUUUCCCACAUACUUGGACAAAAUUAAAGAUCUUCUUUGGCUUUUUUAAUUCUUCAAAUAGUUCAAAUGUGCUAAGUUCUUGUUAUAUCCAUCUUUGUAUGAAUUCUUGAAAUGUAUGUUUUAGCUUCUUGGCUUGAAAUCUUGUGAU